rnacentral:rRNA from 1 species
GGACCCGCACAAGCGGUGGAUCAUGUGGUUUAAUUCGAAGAUACGCGAAGAACCUUACCGGCCCUUGACAUACCAAUCGCGGACUUAAGAGAUUAAGUUUUUCACUUCGGGUGGAUUGGAUACAGGUGCUGCAUGGCUGUCGUCAGCUCGUGUCGUGAGAUGUUGGGUUAAGUCCCGCAACGAGCGCAACCCUUACCUUCAAUUGCCAGCACAUUAUGGUGGGAACUUUGAAGGAACUGCCGGUGAUAAGCCGGAGGAAGGUGGGGAUGACGUCAAGUCCUCAUGGCCCUUACGGGCCGGGCUACACACGUGAUACAAUGGUAACUACAAAGGGCAGCGAAGGAGCGAUCUGGAGCAAAUCUCAAAAAGUUACCUCAGUUCGGAUUGCACUCUGCAACUCGAGUGCAUGAAGUUGGAAUCGCUAGUAAUCGUAGAU